GCUCGCAUAGUUUAGUGGUUAUAAUUUUGCACUUGUAAUGCAAGGGUCGCUAGUUCGAAUCUGGCUGUGAGCA
rnacentral:tRNA from 1 species